UACACAGGCCCUUGGUCACAGAAAGCCAAGGAAGGGAAAAGCCUGGAAGCUGACCGGACUCUGACAUUAUUGCUUGAAAGUGGUUGGGACAGUACAUGACACACAAGAAGGACAGAUCCUUCCAGCAUGCACCCCUCCACCCCCUCGGCCCGUCCGAGGAAAUUAUGGGCCCCUUGGCAGGGAAUAGGAUACUUCUCCAAGUGUACUCUGGUCUCUGCUGGAACCUGGAGCACUUCAUCCACCUUCACUGCCUCAUCCUGGCUUUCUCAGACGGAGCUACAAUCAAAAGUGACCUCCCUCUCCCAAAGGGGUAAAAGGCUUGCCUCCAAAUCACCAAACAACCUUAAUAAAGACCCUCAUCUGCCACUUAGCCACAUUCGUGUGAUGUCUUCAGUUGAAAUCAUAACUCUUCUGAACCCUGAGCAAAGAGAAAAAGCAAAGCAACACAACACACACUUACACACACACACAUCUGCGUAGUAAAGAAGACGGAAAGGAAGCACAAGCAAAAUACUCCAACACGGCCGUGUCGUGUGGAGCCUUCUUCUUCGGCUGAAAGGCAGCUUCUCCUGAGGGUUUAGGCUGUUCUCCUGAGCUAAGGGUGGAGUGAGGGAGAAGGAAGGCAGAUCUGCGUCUGUGGCUGAUUGGCAAGUUCUGUGAGAAGUUAUCCACUCCCAUAAGUUUUGUUACUGUGGCAAUUUCUUUCUCAGCGUUGAUGGUGCCCCUUACUUACAGGCGGGGGUGGUGUGGGGAAUGGGGUGUUGUUUCUAGUGGCUGCUGGGCAGCCGUCUGACUGAGCCUGGAAAGGUUCUGGGAAAAUGAAAUGCUGUUGUUUCUCUGUUUUUGAAGACACUCUUUUUUCGAUCAUGUUUAUACUUUGAAAUUUCACACUGUGGUCAAAGAAGGCAAGGUAAAAUUUUAUAUCCCCAUCAACACCGGAGAACUGUGCUUGUCCUGUGUUCACACAGACACGUGAUCUUUAUAGACGUCUAAGAUGAGUACCUGUGGGGGAGACAAAUCACAUUUUAAUAACCAAAUCAUGAUAUUCAAAUAUUUUAAAUGUAGCCGCUUUUCCCUUUUCCUAUAGAGUUUUCCUAUCUUCUUAACAGAGGUAACAUAUAAAUCCAAGUAAUGUCCUUCUCAACUAUAAUUUAGAGUUGCACUGAAAACGAAAGUUAUAGAUAAGAUAAAGUUAAAAUAUAAAUUUCAGAUCAAGCAUUCUACUGUGACAUAAAAAAGCAAGCUUUAAGUUCACUGAAACGGAAUAUUCCAGCAAUUACCAAAAGAUUCCACAGCUGUUAAACUAGAAAAACUGUUUUUCUUUCUUUGCGUGUAACUCAUCAUCUCUCACAAUCACCUCGUAACUAAUCAAAGCUUUUAUGAAAACGUUAGUGGCCAAAAAGCCACUUUGAUUGCCUUCGUUCCAUUGGCUAUUUAUAGGCCUGUUUAUUGCCACUAAUCACUUUUUUUUUUAAUUUUAAAAUUUGUUCUUUUGAAAUCAGCUUUAACAACAGCAAUAAAAUAUGUUCUAAAAUAUUAACA
rnacentral:lncRNA from 1 species